UACGUAGGGUGCGAGCGUUGUCCGGAAUUAUUGGGCGUAAAGGGCUCGUAGGCGGUUUGUCGCGUCGGGAGUGAAAACCUUGGGCUUAACUCAGGGCUUGCUUUCGAUACGGGCAGACUAGAGGUAUGCAGGGGAGAACGGAAUUCCUGGUGUAGCGGUGAAAUGCGCAGAUAUCAGGAGGAACACCGGUGGCGAAGGCGGUUCUCUGGGCCUUACCUGACGCUGAGGAGCGAAAGCGUGGGGAGCGAACCGG
rnacentral:rRNA from 1 species